UUGGAGGGCAAGUCUGAUGCCAGCAGCCGCGGUAAUUCCAGCUCCAAUAGCGUAUAUUAAAGUUGUUGCAGUUAAAAAGCUCGUAGUUGAACUUCGGGGUCUACCCAUUGGUCAGGCUUAAUUGUCUGCACUGGUGAGAUGGAUCUCUACCUUCUGAGGAACUUUCAUGCCAUUUAUUUGGUGUGAUGGGAAAUCAGGACUGUUACUUUGAAAAAAUUAGAGUGUUUAAAGCAGACUAUCGUCUGAAUACAUUAGCAUGGAAUAAUGAAAUAGGACGGACUGAUUCUAUUUCGUUGGUUUCUAGGAUCACCGUAAUGAUUAAUAGGGAUAGUUGGGGGCAUUAGUAUUCAAUUGUCAGAGGUGAAAUUCUUGGAUUUAUUGAAGACUAACUACUGCGAAAGCAUUUGCCAAGGAUGUUUUCAUUAAUCAAGAACGAAAGUUAGGGGAUCGAAGACGAUCAGAUACCGUCGUAGUCUUAACCAUAAACUAUGCCGACUAGGGAUCGGACGAAGUUAAUUUUAUAAUGACGCGUUCGGCGCCUUACGGGAAAC
rnacentral:rRNA from 1 species